GUCACCUUGAAGCCUUCAAGCACCACUUGUUGCAUUGCAGGGUCCAUGUGUCAGACCAAGUCCAAGUUAAGAGCAAAUUGACAUUGAUAAAUCAGUUGUGGAUUUGGUAAGAGUUACUGGUGCAGCCUUUUCUCCAAUUUCCUAAGUCUUUUAUGGUAUCAAGAGCUUCUAUAAUCUGACGAUGUUUUUUUACCCAGGUUUCCCAUGGCCAACUCUAAUAGCUCUGCCCUUCCUACCAAUGACCAAAUUCCUCCGCUCACAAUUGACCUGAAACAAAUGUCCACUGUGGUUGCCUCAAAUUUCUCAUAUUCUUCGUAGUCAGUGAUCUUUUUGGCUACGUUGAUGGCACAAUCCUCUGUCCUCUUACGUCUCUUCCUGGUGCUGCCGAAAAUGUCGUCAAUCCUUCUUAUCUAUAUUGGGUCCAGCAAGAUCAGACAAUAUUGAGUUGGAUAAACAACUCACUCACUCCGUCUGUGUUGUCUACUGUGGCGUUGUCUCCCACAUCUCGUCAAUCUUGAGUAUCUCUGGAACAUCACUAUGCCUCCACCUCUCACAACCGCAUCCUUCAUCUGCGCAAUGAACUCAUUCGCACAGACUUGUCCAUUUCAGAGUACCGAGACAGAAUCAACUCGAUUGCAGAUGAUCUUGCACUCGCUGGCAACUGACAAUCUCAGCUCCACAUCCACACUAGCUCUGGGAAAAUAUCAGAAACUAAUGGAGGAGGAAAA